UGAGAUCUGCGUUAAAAAUCGGACCGAAUUAGUUGUUCUUCGAGUUUAUUAAUCCUUGAACCUGAUCCGUAAUCACGGAUCUGAAUCCGGGAAUUCGUUGUGGAUGAUUUGAUGGGAUAAAUCAUUUUUUGGCCACUCGUAUACGUACCAAGAAUCCACUUCGGUAAGCUCUGCUGAACUCAAAGGUGCCACUGCAUAUGAGGUUUCUGGUAAUCGUUGGAGUUAACAAGGGUCCAAGUUGUGGCAAUGAUAUGUAA
rnacentral:lncRNA from 1 species